AUUUUCCUUGGACAGGAAAAGCCACUAGAAUGCUGGCAUAAAAACCUGCUUCUUUUCGGUUAAAAAAAUACAAUAAAUAAAUACAAUUAUAAAGUAAAUAAUGAACUGCGGCUGAAGACAGAACUCCAUCGGUGGAAACCUUUACAGGAGUUCGGAACUGGCUGUUACGGGCUGGAAAGAAAAUAAAAGAAAAAAAGAACCUACGAGAUGAAUGUGGCAAAUGAAAAUAUAGAAUGGACAACUGUAUCGGAACAAUAAAGGAAACAUGAAGUUGAGCUAGAUACAAUUUCAAACGAUCUUUGAAAAUGCUUAGGGAUGAACAUAAGCCAAAUUUAUUAAAAAAGAAAUUGAAGUAAUUAGCACCUUUGAAGGUUAUACUACGUUCACCAGACAAAGUGGAAA